rnacentral:rRNA from 1 species
AGUGAACGCUGGCGGUAGGCCUAACACAUGCAAGUCGAACGGCAGCACAGUAAGAGCUUGCUCUUACGGGUGGCGAGUGGCGGACGGGUGAGGAAUACAUCGGAAUCUACUUUUUCGUGGGGGAUAACGUAGGGAAACUUACGCUAAUACCGCAUACGACCUACGGGUGAAAGCAGGGGAUCUUCGGACCUUGCGCGAUUGAAUGAGCCGAUGUCGGAUUAGCUAGUUGGCGGGUUAAAGGCCCACCAAGGCGACGAUCCGUAGCUGGUCUGAGAGGAUGAUAAGCCACCCUGGAACUGAGCCACGGUCCAGAGUCCUAAGGGAGGCAGCAGUGGGGAAUAUUGGACAAUGGGCGCGAGCCUGAUCCAGCCAUACCGCGUGGGUGAAGAAGGCCUUCGGGUUGUAAAGACCUUUUGUUGGGAAAGAAAAGCAGCAGGUUAAUACCACGCUGUUCUGACGGUACCCAAAGAAUAAGCACCGGCUAACUUCGUG